UCCGAAUGCUCUAGAUUAAAGUUUGAUCAUGGGCUCAGACUGAACGCUGAGCGGCAGGCCUAACACAUGCAAGUCGAACGGUAACAGGAAGCAGCUUGCUGCUUUGCUGACGAGUGGCGGACGGGUGAGUAAUGUCUGGGAAACUGCCUGAUGGAGGGGGAUAACUACUGGAAACGGUAGCUAAUACCGCAUAACGUCGCAAGACCAAAGAGGGGGACCUUCGGGCCUCUUGCCAUCGGAUGUGCCCAGAUGGGAUUAGCUAGUAGUGGGGUAACGGCUCACCUAGGCGACGAUCCCUAGCUGGUCUGAGAGGAUGACCAGCCACACUGGAACUGAGACACGGUCCAGACUCCUACGGGAGGCAGCAGUGGGGAAUAUUGCACAAUGGGCGCAAGCCUGAUGCAGCCAUGCCGCGUGUAUAGAAGAAGGCCUUCGGGUUGUAAAGUACUUUCAGCGGGGAGGAAGGUGUUGAGGUUAAUAACCUCAGCAAUUGACGUUACCCGCAGAAGAAGCACCGGCUAACUCCGUGCCAGCAGCCGCGGUAAUACGGAGGGUGCAAGCGUUAAAUCGGAAUUACUAGGGCGUAAAGCGCACGCAGGCGGGUCUGUACAAGUCGGGAUGUUGAAAUACCCCGG
rnacentral:rRNA from 1 species